ACAUCAAACUGAGAGGUGCUCUCUAAACAUGGAGAUAUCAUUCACCACCAGGAACCCAGAUGAAAGUAAAUCCCACUGUCCACAGAGUUACUUACACACCUGUUCAUGUCUUGGCCAGGAUUUUAUCUAAAAUGAAGUUCUGUGUGUAGUAGGUUAUUAAUAAAAGCAAAACAAAGAGAAACAGAAACUUCUACCCUCACCUGUCCAAGAGAAGCCACACUCGUGGUGAGAUCCUGUAACAAAUGACAAUUAAUUUGACCUUUCUAACUGGAGUGUCUGGAAUUGUGGGGUCAGGUUUUGAAGAUGAGAGGCUGUAACUAAGAAAUAUCCACUAGCUGUUAGUAGAGAGUCUACAACCUUGCCUUUUAAAGUGUAGUUCUCAGAGCAGCAGCAGCAGCUGCUGCAGCACCAGGAGGCUUUAUGAGACACAGAGUCUUAGGCCACAAGCCAGACUGCCUUUCACCAAAAUCUCCAGAGGAUACAUUUGGGCAUUAAAGUUUGAGAGGUGCUGGUGUACAAGACCUGGGUGGAUGUGGAUGUGCAUGUGCUGGGAGGGACCCUUCUUGGAAUUUUGUACCAAAGAUUGUGACCCUCUUAGGCAAUCAAGUCUGAGUCAUAGAGGAGGCCCCAGAAAUUCAGCCUAGAAACGCCUGUGUUUAAAAACAGAAGGCCAUGGCUUCCAGGAAGGAUGAUCUAUUUUAUAAUACCGUAAGGUUUCAAAAUGACUACAGCCCCCUUAUCCGCCUCCACUGAGCUCCACACCGUCGUCUACCCUGACACUCUUGGUGCUGGAGACAUAGGGGUCCGGAGCAAGGCAAUCACAGGGGACAGGAACCUUGCUUUUUGAGACCCUGGGCCCCAGAACAGCUCUAGCCAAGGCUCCCACACCCCUCAUUCUAGAAAUGAGGGUUUUCUAGAAAGUCAGGCCUGCAUGCAGGGAAGGGAGGUGAGGGUGCCCAUGAGUGAGCCGCUCAGAAAUCCCUUCUCCAGCCCCACUCUCUCAGUGACCCCACCUGGACAUCAUCUACUCUAUCCACAAGAAGCGGGUUCAGCCGAGGGGAUUGACCAGAAGCUCAGGUGUGAGCCUGAGGGCUGACUGCUGGUUAUUUUUCUGUCCUGGAACACCUGACCCACCUGCCUGUCUUCAUGUCGCCAGUGUGGGGAGGGAGAGAGACAACUAACUAUAACCAGGAGGGUCCCCGCAGUGGCUCCGGCCUCGCCUCCCCUUUCUUGCCUGAGACACUAACUUAGUUCCUGGUUUGGUGCCUGUCGGCGCCUCCAUUACCAGUAGCUUAGCUCCCACCGUGGGGAGGGAAUCAAAGAGGUUGUGCCGCCCUUGCCAUGUAGCUGCCCCUGAAUCUCAUCCAGGUCAGUUCCAGAUUCUAAACUGAAUUUUUUUCAUGAUAUUGUCAAAACAGUGAGGAAACAUUUUUUAAAAGCCCUAUAGAAAAAAAGAAGAAGAAAGAAAGAAAGAAUUGGGUUCAGCUGCAAAUAACAGGAAAAAAAAAUAGUGGCUUAAACCAGUGCCUCUCAAACCAUCCUGUACACAGAAAUCACCCGGGGAUCUUGUUAAAAUGCAGACCGUGAUUCAGAAGCCCUGGGGCUGGCCCUGACGUUCAGCAUGUCUAAUGGGCUCCUGUGCGAUGCCCAAGCUGCUGGUCCACAGAGCUCACUCCAUAGGGAGGGCUUCAGCAAGACAGGAGUGUAUUCCUCAGCCACAAGAAACCUGGAGUCUGGCCCUCCAGACUAUAUCCAUCGCUGGUGAUGGGACCAUUGGUACACCAAACCUCAGCAACAUUCAAUUUACCCAUCUAACAAAUCUGCAUGUGUACCCUCAGAACCUAAAAUAAAAGUUGAGAUAGAGGAAAAAAAAGAGUUUGUUGCUUUCAGCCUCUUGAUUAGUGAGAUGGAAACAAACCAUCAAUACACAAUGCUGUCUGGCUUCCUCUGUGUGGAAAGUGCGGAUAGGGAUUGAGAGGGUCCUACUUGCCAAGGCCACAAGUUUGGGAUGAGUCAGCUGCAUCAUACAUCAGCAGAUGAGCUGUGAGGCAGGGAUGCUCCAAUGGGCACAGAGCAGCCAGACCCACAACCUGCCCUGAAGCCACUCAGAGAUCACAGUUCAGUUACAGGGUACAUGGUGGGCGGCCUAAGAAUGGGGAGAAACUGGGGACCUAGGACCCAGGACCUGGCCACACUGAGUGGACGAGAUCAGCUUCAGGUCCCGGGAAAGUUCUUCCCAGAAGGCAAAAAUGAUUCCUGAAGCAUAUGGUCAUUGUGAUACCUUGGCUGGCAAUAUAAUCUGUAGUCCAAACCAGGGACAGUGUUGAGAAUAGAAAGCCAAAAUCACUUAAUAGGCCUUAACUGAUCUGUGGUAUGCAUUAACCAGUUGUCGGCAAGUCCAGAACUGUGGACCUUCUCCUAACCCUGUGAGUGGACAUCUGCCAGGUAAGCUGGCCACAAGCAGACUGCACUGGAACACUUAGGGUCUCCAUUUUGGCCUAGAUGAUCCUCAGGUCAGGAUUCAGACAUGUUGGGCAGCAUCAGAAGGACAGGGUGGGUGAUUGUGGUCCUUGAUAGCAGGCAUAGGGCUUCAAUAAGGAGUGAAAGCUCCUGUAAAGCAACUACUGACUGUUGACAGUGAACGGAUUCAUCAGAAACUCAACUCAGGCUGGGCGCGGUGGCUCAAGCCUGUAAUCCCAGCACUUCGGGAGGCUGAGGUGGUUGGAUCACGAGGUCAGGAGAUGGAGACC
rnacentral:lncRNA from 1 species